UGGCGUCACUGCCAGGAACUCCGGUGGCUGUAAACAAGUCUAAAGGCACGGAGACAGAGAGCGAUACUGUCUCGGAGAAGCGGCCAUGAAAGCGGACAGACAAGUGGUGGAAGAAGGGAAGGAAUAAAAAGGGAAGGAAGCAGAGCACCUGGGGUGAAAUCAGCCACGGGUUCCAACGGAGAGCGCCAGUGGCCGUGCUUGUGGCUGCCCUCUUAAACCCGCUUGAUGACCAUUAGCACACGUUGGCCCACAUGACAGCUGAACUUGGAGCCUUUGGCCUAAGGCGCCGUGCAGUGCUGCGAGGGACGCCCUGGGUGUUCUAGGGCGGUUGUGGACAAAGAAAAGAGAACAGAAACUCUUAUUGGAGCUGACAAGGGCUCUCCCUCCCGGGCACCGGCGGCACCCUAACAGCCUGGAUCCAGUAGAACAAGGCAGCGCACCGUGGUGAUGCAACCAUCUCGCACCCCCCUCCUCUCCCCCUACCAACCUUCUUCUCCGGUUUGAUAUGGUCUGUUGAGAACCCUGCUUUGAGAAUUGCUUGACUGGCUUUGAAGUUCAUCUCCCUCCCUCUCUCUCGCUCACUCUUCCUUUCUUCAUCUUGAUCUGUUUUAUCAUUUGAUAUUUAGGAUCAAAUGUAAAAAGAACCAGAAGCACAAACUCAAGUGAAUCCCCUUUCCCACCCACACUGUGCUCAGCCUGGCUUUUUGGAAAAAGGAAACUUAGUAAAAAAGAAACUGUUUUACGUUGCUCUCCCACGUUCCACCAAGCCUCGCAGGUGUGAUUGACCUUGUUUGUGUUUAUGGAGGUCGACGCCGUCUUGAAGACCUCUUCUAAGUUUCUUGUGCUUUUUUGUUGAAAUGUGGGUGGCAGGUUGCAUAAUGGUUAAGGUGCUGGACUUGCGAUCAGAAGUUCAAGUCCACGUAGUGAGUGCUGCUGCUGUACCCUUGACUACUGCUAAAAGACGACUCAAGACAGCAUUACCCCAGUAGUGCUCGGUGUUCCAUUUCAGCUACUCUUGGCACCACUGAAUCCAAACACACACCCAUAGCUGUUAGUGACAUUUUCUAUAUAAAUGCCUUUUAAUGAGAUCUAGCCUAGUUUUUUUAUUGAUACAAGAUGGUCGUGGCCCACACUGCACUGUUCGCAAAGGUUGUUUGCCAUCGGCCUUUCUUUCGUUCGGCCUUGCCAACCGGAUUCGUGGCAGCGUGGACAGAUGCUCGACUUCUGCCGUUUCUCUUAGGCAACGUUGUCUCUCUUCUUUUCCGAAGGCUGAAACGCGGCCGUUGCCGCGCUCCUUGCCACCGAAGCAUCUACGAAAUGCGAACAGCGGCAGUUAUAUCUCCUCCUGCAUCCCCGCUGCCUAUUAAUACCAGAAUCAAGGUGCAGCCUACUCAGUUAUAAACAAUGUGGGGACUGCUGUGUGUUGGUGUGCCUGCGUGCGUGCGUGCGUGCGUGCGUGCGUGCGUGCGUGCGUGUGUGUGUGUGUGAAUAGGUGGAUUUGAACAGUUCACAUGCCAGUCACGUAUAUGUAGCGCCCACAUGCCUCUCAGACACACUCCAGGGUUUACAUCUUGACACCCCAUCACUUACGUUCCUUCGGCCACUUCCUGCGCUUGCAGCUGCCAAGAGUUACGCAACGCUCGUAAUGCCGCACCUUCUACGUCCGUGGAUACCGUUCGCUGUCUCGUCGUGUUUGUCCGCAGACCCAGUGAAUUUUGCAAAUCUUUUAACAUUUCCGAAUGACCGGAAAUAUUGCGGCUGAUUUAAAAUUGCUCCAAUUUCCCAUACCCAAAGAACACAGUACAUUACAUGGCAUUGCAAUGUGAAAUAUUAUAGAUUACUGUUUAAUCUUGCCUUUUUUGAAGGAUGUAUACAUGAGAAAUAUGGAAAUAAUACUUUGUCAUAAGCACAGAUAACUGAUAACGAAGGAAAUUAGAAGAGACGGUCGACCGUUAACGUCAUUCUGAUGUUGGAAGCUGAUAAUAUCGACACCUGUUGUUCGACAGCAGUGAGGUUGCUUAUCCCAUUUUUGAAACCUUUUUCUGUAAUGUUGGCAUUUUAUUGAGAAUAAUUUGCAUCCUCCUCUUUCCAAACUUCUUGAAAAGCCAGACAGAAAAACAGGAAGCAGCUGUCGCCAGGGAAACGGGCCGAGCGAUCUGCGGAGAAGCGUGGGAGAGAUUGCGAGGUAAGAAAAAAAAAAGGGCUGGAAUAAAGGCCACUUGGGGUGGGAUUUUUUUUUUUUUUCUCUCUUUUUACCCAUUUGAUUUAGGCAGGAAAACAGGGAUAUUGGUGCCUGCGUGUGCCUAGGAAUAGCCGGGCUGACGCAGGCUAACAGACGAGCCGCUCAUCCCUGGCAGCGCGUGUGCUCCCUCGCCCUCACCCUUUCUCAUUCCUUUCCUCCCUUAUCGCAAUCUGUCCCUUCACUCCCUCGGCUUCCUUCCUCCAGCCCCAUUCUCCCUCUCCCCAAGAGGCUCAGAUGUCGCUGUUGGCCCCAGACCCAGCACAUUUGCGCCGUCAGUCCGCAGUUUUUCGCUUUCUGAAGAACAGCACCACUUGGUUACUCAGCUGGCCUCCUGUCAUAAUUCUUCCUCGUGAAUUUACAAAAAAAAAAAAAAAAAACUUUGCGUCUUUACCUGCAUCUCCGAAUGCUUGUGUUCGACUCUGUUGGAUGUUCAUCUGCCACGGAAACAGUGGAUAUUACAGCGGAAAAGGGCACAGAGCUGAAACGUGAAGGUCUCUAGUCAUAGGAGUGGCCUACAGUGCCUCUGUAGUGCUUUUCAGCUGUAUUUGAACAGUAAAAAUACCUCUUAGCAUUAUCUGCCUAGUAUUGUGUGAAAAUGUGGCUGUACAGGGAUGUAUGAAUGAUAAGGGUGGUGUCCAGAUCAGCAUGACGUGCUGGCAGUGAGCGCUCCCUGCUAGAGUUCCCGUUAUUCACCACGUCUUCAAAGUUGAUCAGUUUGGACCUCUGCCCCACUGGCCGCCACGCUAACUGAAUCCGGCUGCAAAAGAUCCUCUUGACCACGUGCCUGGAAAAACGAACGGAAAAACAAAACUCCACGGAGCCCCUCACACCCAAAGAUAUGACAUGUGACACCUGGGUGUGUUCGUGGAACACGCAGCAAGGAACUUCGUAACGCUACGCUGUGUACAAACAUUAGUGGAAUGUGUUGUUAAUACUUCACGGGGGGUUUUCACAGAUAUUUUUUUUUUCUUUAAAAUUUGCUUAAUAAGAUCUUUUAUCUGCAGCAGUAUACGUCUGUAUAUAUACAGUAUGUGUCUAUAUAUAUAUAUAUAUUUUGUUUAGCUGUAUGCCAUGUACUGAUCAUUGAUCAUAAUUUGUUGCUUAGUUUUGAUGCUCUUAUAUCCAAAGUUUAUAGAGCUGGAUAUUUUUCCGGAGCGAUUCGGGGUAAUUGCCUAGCGUACAGUAGGGGAAGCGAGUUAUAACUGAAAAGGGGAGCAGCUCAUAGCGUAAUAGAGCCACUGCCAGCUGUAAAGUGCAGGUAAAUGAAUAAAUGUAACAGGUAAAUUAUCUUAACUGCUACACUGCCUGCUACUUUUAUACUUGAGUAUGUCAUAUAUAAAUUUUGAAAAUAUAAUACAGUGGAUCCCUGACGUGAACUUUCAGGUAACAAGCUUUUUGGCGUCACAAACUUUUUUUGAGACAUAUCCAGUACUUUUUUCUUUUUCCUAAAGAGAGCACCGUAUCGUUUCGAAUCGUGCGUCAACGUAUCGUCCGAUCUCAAACAGUAAGCCCUGCCUUCAGUUUUUCAAAAAAGUGGGGAAGCGAACAGAAGGCGAAUGAACCGUAACUGAUCCCGUACCUUCUGCAUUUCCCAGUUGGUGCUGCAUGUCCAUCAUCCUGCACCUCCAGGAUAAGCUGGAACUCAUGUUGUUAUUUCAAAUUCUCACAAUUACGCUUGGUUUCUGAUUAUUGCACUUGUAUUGGUAUUACUGAAUUUUGCGUAAAUUGCGGGGUACAGUCCUUCAUCGCGCUUUGUUAUUUACAGCGUGCCUUGAACGCUCCUACCAAGGGACUGAAAACGCCCAGGCAUGUGCACGAGCUGCCCCGGCUCACGAGAGGGAGGGACUGCGAGAGAGAGAGAGAGAGAGAGAGAGAGAGAGAGAGAGAGAG